AGAGUUUGAUCCUGGCUCAGGACGAACGCUGGCGGCGCGCCUAACACAUGCAAGUCGAACGGAGUCAAGAGGAGCUUGCUUUUCUUGACUUAGUGGCGAACGGGUGAGUAACGCGUGAGUAACCUGCCCUGGAGUGGGGGACAACAGUUGGAAACGACUGCUAAUACCGCAUAAGCCCACGGCCCGGCAUCGGGCUGAGGGAAAAGGAUUUAUUCGCUUCAGGAUGGACUCGCGUCCAAUUAGCUAGUUGGUGAGGUAACGGCCCACCAAGGCGACGAUUGGUAGCCGGACUGAGAGGUUGAACGGCCACAUUGGGACUGAGACACGGCCCAGACUCCUACGGGAGGCAGCAGUGGGGGAUAUUGCACAAUGGGGGAAACCCUGAUGCAGCGACGCCGCGUGGAGGAAGAAGGUCUUCGGAUUGUAAACUCCUGUUGUUGAGGAAGAUAAUGACGGUACUCAACAAGGAAGUGACGGCUAACUACGUGCCAGCAGCCGCGGUAAAACGUAGGUCACAAGCGUUGUCCGGAAUUACUGGGUGUAAAGGGAGCGCAGGCGGGAAGACAAGUUGGAAGUGAAAUCCAUGGGCUCAACCCAUGAACUGCUUUCAAAACUGUUUUUCUUGAGUAGUGCAGAGGUAGGCGGAAUUCCCGGUGUAGCGGUGGAAUGCGUAGAUAUCGGGAGGAACACCAGUGGCGAAGGCGACCUACUGGGCACCAACUGACGCUGAGGCUCGAAAGCAUGGGUAGCAAACAGGAUUAGAUACCCUGGUAGUCCAUGCCGUAAACGAUGAUUACUAGGUGUUGGAGGAUUGACCCCUUCAGUGCCGCAGUUAACACAAUAAGUAAUCCACCUGGGGAGUACGACCGCAAGGUUGAAACUCAAAGGAAUUGACGGGGGCCCGCACAAGCAGUGGAGUAUGUGGUUUAAUUCGAAGCAACGCGAAGAACCUUACCAGGUCUUGACAUCCGAUGCAUAGUGCAGAGAUGCAUGAAGUCCUUCGGGACAUCGAGACAGGUGGUGCAUGGUUGUCGUCAGCUCGUGUCGUGAGAUGUUGGGUUAAGU
rnacentral:rRNA from 1 species